rnacentral:Y_RNA from 2 species
GGCUGGUCUGAGUGCAGUGGUGUUUACAACUAAUUGAUCACAACCAGUUACAGAUUUCAUUGUUCCUUCCCCACGCCUACUGCUUCACUUGACUUGCCUUAA